GAACCCAAACUAAAGGCGCUACAGAAGAAGUAUGCAGAACUACAAGAGAAAUCAGCAAAUAUGAAGAAUAUGACACAAUUCUUAAACGACCUGCAAAAUCUACAGGCAAAAUAUAUGAAGUACUUAGAGAAAAAUCCAAAAGAGGAGGAAGUGUAUGGAGCUGCCAGUAUGCCUGCGAUGUUAUUAGAUGCACGUGGAAUUUUAGGAGCUGAAAGCCAUUUGCGGACUGUUAACACAAGACUAAACAACCAACUGAAGCAGACAAGCAAGUAACACAUUUGGAUAAGAAUUUUAACGUACAUGUUCCACAUUUUCAGCAAGUUUUAGAUUAUUUUCCUUCUGCACAAAAGGACAAGUUAUGUAAGUUCAGGACUGACGAGACAACUUCUUUUCUGCAUAUAUCUGUAAUGUUUGUAAAAAAAAUUCCAGUUGUAAUUUAAGAUCCUGUAUAUUAAUAAAGUCAGAAUAUCAUUGUAAUUAUUUUCAGAGUUUGUUAAAGUAUAUAAAUGAAAAAUUCAUUUUAGUGCCUUACUGUGGUUUUAAAUGCACCUGUGAGAUUUCACCGAUUGUGAAAAGGGGACAUUUCAAUAAACAUUAUUUCUAUAAUUGUAAA